rnacentral:lncRNA from 1 species
AACACUAUAAAUACAUGAACACACUCACAGGCCUGGAAGGGUCUGAAGGGCCAAGUGCUUUACAGAUGAUGCAAGGGACCUGGCCUGUUACGUAACCCAUUUCACAAACUGGGGUUUCACUGAGCUGGCCUAUUUCCCAUCAUCUCAAAAUAACUCCAGCUAUAACACAUGACUGACUAAGGACAUCUCUGAGUGAGGCCUACACUGCCAACAGAGGCUUGUGCAUUCUAUGAGUUCUAUGGUAAAAGAUAAAUAAACAAAAUCUCUCUGGGCAGCCCCUUGUAAGAUCCUGCAGCUUUUGGGGCAGUUGGUGUUAACCUCAGGAACCGGAUCUUCAUAGGCCAGAGGAAAGCCCAGAGACUUUCCCCUCACCGACACCCUGGAAUAAAGUGAGAAGGGCUUGUUGCACUCAUUGUAACGAAACCAGGAAUGAUUACGAUACGGAGCUGAUAGACAACACUUUGCAUUUACAUCUCAAAGCACUUUCCAAGGGCUGAUUUGACUGGGAUGCAGUUGUGAUUCCUGAAUGAACAAUAUAAACCAAUUCAAAGGUUCCCAAAAAGCAUCCACAAACAGAGCAAAGGUCUAAAAACACGUGUGAUAUGUGAUGUGGAGGCUCCUUACACAGACCUGACCAAACCAAGAGACCUAGAAUCAUGG